rnacentral:tRNA from 1 species
GCCUUCGUGGUGUAACGGUAGCCCACUCGGCUCAUAUUCGAGAGGUCCAAGUUCAAGUCCCGGCGGGGGGCA